rnacentral:piRNA from 1 species
UAGCACUAAUAAUAAUAGCACCUGAC